rnacentral:miRNA from 1 species
CUUCAUACUCAAGUCCCUGUUCGGGCGCCAGGUGUCCUGACCCGGGGGGACAG